rnacentral:rRNA from 1 species
AGCGAACGCUGGCGGCAGGCUUAACACAUGCAAGUCGAGCGGGCGUAGCAAUACGUCAGCGGCAGACGGGUGAGUAACGCGUGGGAACAUACCUUUUGGUUCGGAACAACACAGGGAAACUUGUGCUAAUACCGGAUAAGCCCUUACGGGGAAAGAUUUAUCGCCGAAAGAUUGGCCCGCGUCUGAUUAGCUAGUUGGUGAGGUAACGGCUCACCAAGGCGACGAUCAGUAGCUGGUCUGAGAGGAUGAUCAGCCACAUUGGGACUGAGACACGGCCCAAACUCCUACGGGAGGCAGCAGUGGGGAAUAUUGGACAAUGGGCGAAAGCCUGAUCCAGCCAUGCCGCGUGAGUGAUGAAGGCCCUAGGGUUGUAAAGCUCUUUUGUGCGGGAAGAUAAUGACGGUACCGCAAGAAUAAG